GGGCUUUUGGCACAGUGGUAGCGCGCACGCUUCGCAUGAUUUAAUGUUUCUGCGUGAGGACCAGGGUUCAAUCCCCUGAAAGUCCA